AUGAAGAUAAGGAGGCAGCAUGGUGUGGUAGCCGAGAAAAGGAAGAUAAUGUGGUGGCGGGUCCACUAGAAAUUUUGAUCAUUGUAUUAAUUUUUGAGUUGGGAUAUUUGGUGAAUUGUUUGCUUUGUCGGUGUAAUGCCUAUAUAUUGAGUGUCUUGUGUGCUAACUAAGCAUACAAAAAUUGAAGAGAAAAAUUAAAGGAAAAACAGAGUGAGCCGAGAUUUUAUUUGAGUAGAGAGGGAGAGAGUUACAGAGAAGGAAAUUGAGGAAACACACCCACACAACCAUGAUACGCAGAGGGCCGGAUUUGGUGAUGUUUAUGAUCCAGUGAUAAUAUAAUUCUUUUACAGGGUACCGAGGAUGCUUAAGGAUUUUUAGCUGUGGGCUUAGGUGGAAGAGUUGGUGUUGAGGGAUUAAUUUAUUUUAUUUAGAGAUUUUUGUGCAUUUAUUUGAGGAAAUUGAUUUAGUAUCAAUUUAAUUAAUUUGAGAUGUUGUCUUAUUUAUUUGAGGAAAUUUGAUUGAUUUUGUAUCAAUAAAUGGGUAUUUUAUUUCUUUUGA